rnacentral:lncRNA from 1 species
AAAAUAGACAUAUUAAAAGAAAUAUGGUGUUGAAAGUGACGCAGCAUUAAUAUUCUUUGCUAUUUUGUGUUAACACAGAAUAUGUACGUAGGCUAUGUGUACCACAAGUCCGCUCACAAUAUAUGCAAUGCACAUGACUGCUCCCUGCGACAUACUCCCGUGCCACCAGGGCGCGCGUAUGCUUUCAUUUAAUACGCACCGGUAGACCAUCGAGUUCAGACCCCAUUGUGCAGGGUACGUGGCAGAUGCAUAUAGCACUAGAUUUUUCUAAGGGCCCGUUUGGUUCAUUGGAAUUGAAUUCCAUCCUAAUAAUCAUAAUUUAGACACAAAUUAAUUAAGCUAAUAUAAUUGUAUGUGGAAUAUAGUUGUAUAUUAUAGUUGGUGAUAUGGGAGAGAUACUUGUAUGCUGCACUUCUACUAUAGAGAAGCGAGUCUAAGAGCGUGCUAUAAGAAUUGAAUUCCAUCUAAUAACCAUAAUCUAUAGAAUCAAUUUCCAUCUCCCACCCCAUGAAUUUAAGAUAGGCUUAUAUCUAAACUUUGGAAAGUUGUGGAAUGCCACAUUCCAAUAUAAAUUAGCCUACUCCAUUAAAUAGAUUCCAAUUCCUUGGACCCAAACGGGGCCUAAGAGAAUGUAGCACUAGAAUUUCGUAUUAAUAAUAUAAUUUCCAGGAGUACAUUUUUCCCAUGGAAAAUUGGGUGUAAAAUACUUCAAUAAUCAAUUAAUGCAUGAAUGGUUAAUCUUGGGGUCCUGAUAUGUUCGAUUCACCUAGAGCGUGCAAAAUAUUUUUUUCUUAAACAAUCGGGC